GAAAAUACACAUGCUAAAUUCUUGCAUAAAAUUUCAUUACAGCUCUCCUGCCUUAUGCCUGUAUGUAAGAGAAACCACUUGUCAGAAAAUGGAAUGAGGAUAUGCCAAAGUUUCAAGCGGGGAUAAUGUUCAAAACAGCUUGUAAUGAAGAACCUUGUAUUAGAUAAAAGGUACCCAAAAUGAUAUAUGUUUGCAUUACAAAGAAGGGAGAGUGAAAAUGAUUGUAAACACAAGCAAAGUUCUAAGAAGAUCGACAACGAUACAUUGACUCUUCCGAAAACAGCAAGAGAUACAUUUUUUCUCUGCUACUAUUAUGCAGACUGACCUAUCUGCAGUGAAUGUUCAGAGAUAAUCUGGGAGCAGCAGGAAGGGAAGGCGAGCCAGAAGCCGAUGGGCGCCCACAACACCGGCAGGGCAGUGACCUCACCGACUAAGGUGAGGACCCGAGCAAGGCGAGCAGGGCAGGGCUGGUAACAGUGACCAGAGUCAGCCACAGCCCAGUAAUCGCUGAACAAGUCCGUAGUGAUGAGACAGGUCCAAGGUCAAGCCAGGAAGUCAAGUCAGUGGGACAAGGUCAAGAUCUGCAAGGUCUAAUUUCACUGUACAAUGUGUAAAUUGAAAAUAGAGUUUUUCACUGAAAUCAUUCUGACCUAGUCUGAGCAAAAGUAUGGUUUGUCCAGCCAUGGUACCUUAACUUUACAGUCUCCUGAAGGGAUAGGCUUCAGGCACAGUUUCUCUACAGGUAGUUUGCACUGGUAGCACUUACCCACUUUCCCACAUUUUCAUAGGCUGGUACAUAUAUAAUUACAUUCACACUUCAGAUCUGUUAUACUUUUUUUUUUUAUCCAAGUACAGUGGUACAAGUUUUAUGCGUAAAAAAGUAUUUUUAAGUCUCUUUUCCAUAGCCUUGCUUUCAGUUACCUCCUGCCUGCAACUCAUCUUGUAAGGAAGGGAAGUAUCAGACUGCUUCAUUAUCUCUAGAUAGGUAAUAUAAGUAGAAGAGUCAUAAGUGUUCUUAAGAAGAAUUAAACAAUUUUUUUAGUCAUUAAUAAUAAGUAAAUAAUCAUAGAGUUGGUAAGAAUUGAAGAUCUAGUGUAUUCCAGCAUUAUUUUUGAAUAACCACAGACCUAGCUGCUUCUAGCUUCAUUGGCAGGCAUGAAACACCUUUUUUCACUAAAGAUGUAAGGACCCAUUUUACCAGGCAUGGGGUUGAAAGCACAAACUCAGAUUAACAGCAUAACUUUACCAUCUGAUAAAGCUAGCAAGCUCUUAUAUUAUAUGCUAAUCAGCUAGCUGAAGGAGAUACAAAAUAUUUGGCCAGAUAAAAUAUGCACAAAGAAACAUAUAUAAAGAAACUAUUAAUAAAAACACAUUUUUUCAAAAUCA
ensembl:lncRNA